rnacentral:rRNA from 1 species
CCUACGGGCGGCAGCAGUGGGGAAUAUUGCACAAUGGGGGAAAGCCUGAUGGAGCAACGCCGCGUGCAGGAUGAAGGCCUUCGGGUUGUAAACUGCUUUUAUAAGCGAGAAAUAUGAUGGUAACUUAUGAAUAAGGAUCGGCUAACUACGUGCCAGCAGCCGCGGUCAUACGUAGGAUCCGAACAUUAUCCGGAGUGACUGGGUGUAAAGAGUUGCGUAGGUGGCAUAAUAAGUAGCUAGUGAAAUCUGGUGGCUCAACCAUUCAGACUAUUAGCUAAACUGUUAAGCUCGAGACCGUUAGGGGUAACUGGAAUUUCUAGUGUAGGAGUGAAAUCCGUAGAUAUUAGAAGGAACACCAAUAGCGUAGGCAGGUUGCUGGGACGGUUCUGACACUAAGGCACGAAAGCGUAGGGAGCAAACGGGAUUAGAUACCCGAGUAGUC